UGCCUUGAAAUUCCCCGCCGCCGUCCCCAUAAUGUUGAGCAUGGUUGUAAUUCCGGCAAUCUGGAGGCGUUCUGGACAGGGGUUCGAUUCCCCUCACCUCCACCCAAGGGCAUUCAAAGGGUAUUCGGCGAGUGUGUUUGGUUGGGGGUGUACUGGCUUCGACAGGGCGGGCAAAGGUGCGCAGGCAACCCGAAAGGUGACGGACGUAAUCCGCACAAAUCCAUAAACGCCAACGAUGAGCGUUUCGCUGUCGCCGCCUAACCGGCACAGCUGGGGCCGCUGAAGCCUUAUUACCCAAGACAGCCGGCGGGGACUUCGGUCCCCGUCGUC
rnacentral:tmRNA from 1 species